UCCUUUAAGUUUUCCAAAGAGAACCAAAAACAUCCCUCUGUUAAAUAUUUCAUCUACUUUUAACAGAAUCUUUAUUACUCACGUGAGCCCUCCCUGUUUCUAUUCCCCCUUUUCUCACAAAAUCUUCUCUCCUUCCUUCUUUCAAGAAGAGAAACAUGACUUUUCUGGGAAGCUAGAGAAAAGGGUUUGUAAUGGUUAUAUUACUUAUUCUUCGGUGAAGCUUCUUCUUUUCAUUGGAAACACAGAGAUGGUGCUAUUACCGAUGAAGAUGGACAUAUGUGUUGCAUUUAAUGACUCUACGGCUUCAGGUAAAUCAACGGACAAGAAAAUGAAGAUCAAAAUUGCGACUACUAGUAUGACGGGUAGACAGGGAGGUGAUCCAGACUCAUCAGCAGGUUUACAGCAGCACUCCAUUAUUCCGGAGGUGCUUUUUGGUUUAUUCUUUUGUGUAUAUAUAUGUACGUAUUUUGGGCACGACGGGGUCCUGUCCCGUCCAUAUGUCUAGUACUCUAGUAGAGGCUCGUAGAUACGCAUGUGUGGGUAGUAUGGUCUCACGAUGCCCCUAUUGUAUAUAUAUUAUUUUGA